UACGUAGGGGGCGAGCGUUGUCCGAAGUUACUGGGCGUAAAGCGCGCGUAGGCGGUCAUUUAAGUCUGAGGUGAAAGGUUCAGCGCUCAACGUGAACAGUGCCUUGGAUACUGGGUGACUUGAGUUCGGGAGGGGGCAGUGGAAUUCCAGGUGUAGCGGUGAAAUGCGCAGAUAUCAGGAGGAACACCGAUGGCGAAGGCAGCUCGCUGGGACGGUACUGACGCUGAGGCGCGAAAGCGUGGGGAGCAAACAGG
rnacentral:rRNA from 1 species